GCGUCCUUAGUACAGUGGUUAGUACACUUGACAUGUAUUUGAGUGACGUGGGUUCGACUCCCACAGGACACA
rnacentral:tRNA from 1 species